rnacentral:rRNA from 1 species
AGAGUUUGAUCAUGGCUCAGAAUAAACGUUGGCGGCGUGCCUAACACAUGCAAGUCGAGCGAGAAAGUUCCUUCGGGAGCAAGUAAAGCGGCGGACGGGUGAGUAACGCGUGAGAAUCUACCCUUUAGUGAGGAAUACCCUUGAGAAAUUGAGGUUAAUACUGCAUACGUCCCUUCGGGGAGAAAGAUGGCUUUAUGCUGUCGCUAGAGGAUGAGCUUGCGUUCUAUUAGUUAGUUGGUGGGGUAAAGGCCUACCAAGACGAUGAUGGAUAGCCGGCCUGAGAGGGCGAACGGCCACACUGGAACUUAGACACGGUCCAGACUCCUACGGGAGGCAGCAGUGAGGAAUAUUGCACAAUGGGCGAAAGCCUGAUGCAGCGACGCCGCGUGGAGGAUGACGGUCUUCGGAUUGUAAACUCCUGUUAAGUGGGGCAAAAGACUCACUCCUAAUAAGAGUGAGGGAUGAUGGUACCACUAGAGAAAG